GACAAACGCUGGCGGCGUGCCUAAUACAUGCAAGUUGAGCGCUGAAGGUUGGUACUUGUACCAACUGGAUGAGCAGCGAACGGGUGAGUAACGCGUGGGGAAUCUGCCUUUGAGCGGGGGACAACAUUUGGAAACGAAUGCUAAUACCGCAUAAAAACUUUAAACACAAGUUUUAAGUUUGAAAGAUGCAAUUGCAUCACUCAAAGAUGAUCCCGCGUUGUAUUAGCUAGUUGGUGAGGUAAAGGCUCACCAAGGCGAUGAUACAUAGCCGACCUGAGAGGGUGAUCGGCCACAUUGGGACUGAGACACGGCCCAAACUCCUACGGGAGGCAGCAGUAGGGAAUCUUCGGCAAUGGACGAAAGUCUGACCGAGCAACGCCGCGUGAGUGAAGAAGGUUUUCGGAUCGUAAAACUCUGUUGGUAGAGAAGAACGUUGGUGAGAGUGGAAAGCUCAUCAAGUGACGGUAACUUCCCAGAAAGGGACGGCUAACUACGUG
rnacentral:rRNA from 1 species